AUUGAACGCUGGCGGCAUACCUUACACAUGCAAGUCGAACGGCAGCACGGGUGCUUGCACCUGGUGGCGAGUGGCGAACGGGUGAGUAAUACAUCGGAACAUGUCCUGUAGUGGGGGAUAGCCCGGCGAAAGCCGGAUUAAUACCGCAUACGAUCUACGGAUGAAAGCGGGGGACCUUCGGGCCUCGCGCUAUAGGGUUGGCCGAUGGCUGAUUAGCUAGUUGGUGGGGUAAAGGCCUACCAAGGCGACGAUCAGUAGCUGGUCUGAGAGGACGACCAGCCACACUGGGACUGAGACACGGCCCAGACUCCUACGGGAGGCAGCAGUGGGGAAUUUUGGACAAUGGGCGAAAGCCUGAUCCAGCAAUGCCGCGUGUGUGAAGAGGGCCUUCGGGUUGUAAAGCACUUUUGUCCGGAAAGAAAUCCUUGGCCCUAAUACGGUCGGGGGAUGACGGUACCGGAAGAAUAAGCACCGGCUAACUACGU
rnacentral:rRNA from 1 species